AUGGUUGGAGUGGCCAUAAGUGCAUCUCUGACAUCACCUAACGACUCAGUGGAAGAGCCGUUGCAACAUCCAUCACCCGAUAAUGACUCGAUGGAAGAGCUGCCGCAGUUGUCAUCUCCACCCACGCUGCCAACACCAUCCAUGCCGGUUCCAUGGCGCCUACCUCGUAUUGGUGGGCAAUAUCCUCCUGUUGGUUGGUACACCCGCAAUCAGUUGGAAAAAAUUGAAUGUUGA